rnacentral:rRNA from 1 species
CCCGCACAAGCGGUGGAGCAUGUGGUUAAUUCGACGCAACGCGAAGAACCUUACCAGGGCUUGACAUCCCCUGACCGCGUAUGAAAGUACGUUUUCACCCUCGGGUGACAGGGAGACAGGUGGUGCAUGGUUGUCGUCAGCUCGUGUCGUGAGAUGUUGGGUUAAGUCCCGCAACGAGCGCAACCCCUACGUUUAGUUGCUAACGCGUGAAGGCGAGCACUCUAGACGAACUGCCGUUGACAAAACGGAGGAAGGUGGGGAUGACGUCAAAUCAUCAUGCCCCUUAUGUUCUGGGCUACACACGUGCUACAAUGGCCGGUGCAGACGGACGCAAAGCCGCGAGGUGGAGCAAAUCCUAAAAAGCCGGUCUCAGUUCGGAUUGCAGGCUGCAAUUCGCCUGCAUGAAGUCGGAAUCGCUAGUAAUCGCAGGUCAGCAUACUGCGGUGAAUACGUUCCCGGGCCUU